rnacentral:rRNA from 1 species
GUGAUGACGAGGCACUACGGUGCUGAAGUGACAAAUGCCCUGCUUCCAGGAAAAGCCUCUAAGCAUCAGGUAACAUCAAAUCGUACCCCAAACCGACACAGGUGGUCAGGUAGAGAAUACCAAGGCGCUUGAGAGAACUCGGGUGAAGGAACUAGGCAAAAUGGUGCCGUAACUUCGGGAGAAGGCACGCUGAUAUGUAGGUGAAGUGAUUUACUCAUGGAGCUGAAAUCAGUCGAAGAUACCAGCUGGCUGCAACUGUUUAUUAAAAACACAGCACUGUGCAAACACGAAAGUGGACGUAUACGGUGUGACGCCUGCCCGGUGCCGGAAGGUUAAUUGAUGGGGUUAUCCGUAAGGAGAAGCUCUUGAUCGAAGCCCCGGUAAACGGCGGCCGUAACUAUAACGGUCCUAAGGUAGCGAAAUUCCUUGUCGGGUAAGUUCCGACCUGCACGAAUGGCGUAAUGAUGGCCAGGCUGUCUCCACCCGAGACUCAGUGAAAUUGAACUCGCUGUGAAGAUGCAGUGUACCCGCGGCAAGACGGAAAGACCCCGUGAACCUUUACUAUAGCUUGACACUGAACACUGGUCCUUGAUGUGUAGGAUAGGUGGGAGGCUUUGAAGUGUGGACGCCAGUCUGCAUGGAGCCAUCCUUGAAAUACCACCCUUUAAUGGCUGGUGUUCUAACGUGGGCCCCUAAUCGGGGUUGCGGACAGUGUCUGGUGGGUAGUUUGACUGGGGCGGUCUCCUCCUAAAGAGUAACGGAGGAGCACGAAGGUCAGCUAAUCCUGGUCGGACAUCAGGAGGUUAGUGCAAUGGCAUAAGCUGGCUUGACUGCGAGCGUGACGGCGCGAGCAGGUGCGAAAGCAGGUCAUAGUGAUCCGGUGGUUCUGAAUGGAAGGGCCAUCGCUCAACGGAUAAAAGGUACUCCGGGGAUAACAGGCUGAUACCGCCCAAGAGUUCAUAUCGACGGCGGUGUUUGGCACCUCGAUGUCGGCUCAUCACAUCCUGGGGCUGAAGUAGGUCCCAAGGGUAUGGCUGUUCGCCAUUUAAAGUGGUACGCGAGCUGGGUUUAGAACGUCGUGAGACAGUUCGGUCCCUAUCUGCCGUGGGCGCUGGAGAAUUGAGGGGGGCUGCUCCUAGUACGAGAGGACCGGAGUGGACGCAUCACUGGUGUUCGGGUUGUCAUGCCAAUGGCAUUGCCCGGUAGCUAAAUGCGGAAGAGAUAAGUGCUGAAAGCAUCUAAGUACGAAACUUGCCCCGAGAUGAGUUCUCCCUGACUCCUUGAGAGUCCUGAAGGAACGUUGAAGACGACGACGUUGAUAGGCCGGGUGUGUAAGCGCAGCGAUGCGUUGAGCUAACCGGUACUAAUGAACCGUGAGGCUUAACCUU